rnacentral:rRNA from 1 species
UACGAAGGGUGCAAGCGUUACUCGGAAUUACUGGGCGUAAAGCGUGCGCAGGCGGUUCGUUAAGUCUGCUGUGAAAGCCCUGGGCUCAACCUGGGAAUGGCAGUGGAUACUGGCGAGCUAGAGUACGGUAGAGGAAGGUGGAAUUCCCGGUGUAGCGGUGAAAUGCGUAGAGAUCGGGAGGAACACCAGUGGCGAAGGCGACCUUCUGGACCAGUACUGACGCUCAUGCACGAAAGCGUGGGGAGCAAACAGG